rnacentral:rRNA from 1 species
GUUGACCUCGGAUCAGGUAGGAAUACCCGCUGAACUUAAGCAUAUCAAUAAGCGGAGGAAAAGAAACCAACAGGGAUUGCCCCAGUAACGGCGAGUGAAGCGGCAACAGCUCAAAUUUGAAAUCUGGCCUCGGCCCGAGUUGUAAUUUGCAGAGGAUGUUUCUGGCGCGGUGCCUUCUGAGUUCCCUGGAACGGGACGCCAUAGAGGGUGAGAGCCCCGUACGGUUGGACGCCUAGCCUGUGUGAAACUCCUUCGACGAGUCGAGUAGUUUGGGAAUGCUGCUCAAAAUGGGAGGUAUAUCUCUUCUAAAGCUAAAUACCGGCCAGAGACCGAUAGCGCACAAGUAGAGUGAUCGAAAGAUGAAAAGCACCUUGAAAAGGGGGUUAAACAGCACGUGAAAUUGUUGAAAGGGAAGCGCCCAUGACCAGACUUGUGCCCGGCGGAUCACCCAGCGUUCUCGCUGGGGCACUCCGCCGGGUCCAGGCCAGCAUCGGUUUUCGCCGGGGGAUAAAGGCUCUGGGAACGUAGCUCCUCCGGGAGUGUUAUAGCCCUCUGCGUAAUACCCUGGCGGGGACCGAGGUACGCGCUCCGCAAGGAUGCUGGCGUAAUGGUCAUCAGCGACCCGUCUUGAAACACGGA